AUGAACACCCCCACCACCACCUCAAUCCAAGUUGAUGGUGCCAUCUUCAAAUGUAGCAGCCUGCAAUCCUUGUUAGCCGGCUCUCACAUGUCGAACCUUUAAUUGCCGUUUUGCAACAUCUUAUAUGACGACACAUAAGCGAAAACAAACGGAAGGAAGACGUGAUGACUGUCCACAUUGAUAAGUGAAAUGUUCUACUUCGAAUGAAGCAUCUGAGGAGAACAAACGAUUUCGAGUUCACGGUCACGCAUUUGACGAGGGUUUCCCCCCACCCCCUACGCCGACUGGCGUAAUGGUUUGAGUUGAACUCCUUACCGAAGUCAUUGGCUGAAGGUGGAGGUGGGCAGGACUGAACCUGGAAUGGACUAUUUCAAAUGGGGAAAAGAAGUUCUUGUGGAAAAUGGCUAGUUCAUAUUGUGUUUGAAAAUAGACGUUUCGCGAGCACGGCAAUAAAAUAUGAUAAGUAAGAAGUAA